UGCCGUAAGAUUUGACGUGACGAAGAAUCUAAAAUUUUUGGCAAAACUUUUUGAAAACUAAAUAAGGCCUAAAUAGUACUAUUUGGGGAAGCGAAAAAGGUGACAGGGAAAAUAUGAUUUUUUUAAAGGUCGCCAUGGGCAGAGAUCAUCCGUACCUGAACAGAAUUGAUUGCACUGCUGAAUAGUGAGAAGCUUAGUUGAAAUUGAUCGCGUUUUUUAAAGGUCACCAUGGGCGAAAACAAAUUGAACUGAAAGCUAUGACAAGCCUACUAUCUAUUCCAUGUGAUUUUUGUUUGG
rnacentral:lncRNA from 1 species